rnacentral:snRNA from 1 species
CUUUAGCCCCGAUGGAAGCGGCAUCCUUUUUUUCAUUUCACCCUGUUAGGGUUUCGAACCCUAACAGGGUGAAAUGAAAAAAAGAUAUAGCGUACAGCGGGA